rnacentral:rRNA from 1 species
UACGUAGGUGGCAAGCGUUGUCCGGAUUUACUGGGCGUAAAGAGCGCGCAGGCGGUCGUUCAAGUCGGGUGUGAAAGCCCCCGGCUCAACUGGGGAGGGUCACGCGAUACUGAUCGACUCGAAGGCAGGAGAGGGUAGUGGAAUUCCCGGUGUAGUGGUGAAAUGCGUAGAUAUCGGGAGGAACACCAGUGGCGAAGGCGACUACCUGGCCUGUUCUUGACGCUGAGGCGCGAAAGCCAGGGGAGCAAACGGG